rnacentral:rRNA from 1 species
GUCCACGCCGUAAACGAUGUCAACUAGCUGUUGGGACUCUUGUAGUUCUGGUAGCGCAGCUAACGCACUAAGUUGACCGCCUGGGGAGUACGGCCGCAAGGUUAAAACUCAAAUGAAUUGACGGGGGCCCGCACAAGCGGUGGAGCAUGUGGUUUAAUUCGACGCAACGCGAAAAACCUUACCUACUCUUGACAUCCUGCGAACUUUCUAGAGAUAGAUUGGUGCCUUCGGGAGCGCAGAGACAGGUGCUGCAUGGCUGUCGU